rnacentral:rRNA from 1 species
CGGGUGAGUAAUGUAUGGGGAUCUGCCUGAUGGCGGGGGAUAACUACUGGAAACGGUAGCUAAUACCGCAUAAUGUCUACGGACCAAAGCGGGGGACCUCCGGGCCUCGCGCCAUCGGAUGUGCCCAGAUGGGAUUAGCUAGUAGGUGGGGUAAUGGCUCACCUAGGCGACGAUCCCUAGCUGGUCUGAGAGGAUGACCAGCCACACUGGAACUGAGACACGGUCCAG